rnacentral:rRNA from 1 species
GUCUAUGGCCAUGCCAUCCUGAACAAGCCCGAUUGUCUGACCUCGGAAGCUAAGCAGGGUCCAGUCUGGUUAGUACUAGGAUGGGAGACCACCUAGGAAGACCAGGUGCUGUAGGCC